CCUACGGGAGGCAGCAGUGAGGAAUAUUGGUCAAUGGACGAGAGUCUGAACCAGCCAAGUAGCGUGAAGGAUGACUGCCCUAUGGGUUGUAAACUUCUUUUAUAUGGGAAUAAAAUGUUCCACGUGUGGGAUUUUGUAUGUACCAUAUGAAUAAGGAUCGGCUAACUCCGUGCCAGCAGCCGCGGUAAUACGGAGGAUCCGAGCGUUAUCCGGAUUUAUUGGGUUUAAAGGGAGCGUAGGUGGAUUGUUAAGUCAGUUGUGAAAGUUUGCGGCUCAACCAUAAAAUUGCAGUUGAUACUGACAGUGUUGAGUACAGUAGAGGUGGGCGGAAUUCGUGGUGUAGCGGUGAAAUGCUUAGAUAUCACGAAGAACCCCGAUUGCGAAGGCAGCUUACUGGACUGCAACUGACAUUGAGGCUCGAAAGUGUGGGUAUCAAACAGGAUUAGAUACCCCUGUAGUC
rnacentral:rRNA from 1 species